rnacentral:tRNA from 2 species
GCCCGAAUGGCGGAAUUGGCAGACGCGCUGCACUCAAAAUGCAGUAUCGAGAGGUGUGUGGGUUCGAGUCCCACUUCGGGCACCG